rnacentral:piRNA from 1 species
UGCCUAGUCACUCUCACUAGCGCCCUGCC